rnacentral:rRNA from 1 species
UACGAAGGGGGCUAGCGUUGUUCGGAUUUACUGGGCGUAAAGCGCGCGUAGGCGGAUCGUUAAGUCGGGGGUGAAAUCCUGGAGCUCAACUCCAGAACUGCCUUCGAUACUGGCGAUCUCGAGUCCGGAAGAGGUGAGUGGAACUCCUAGUGUAGAGGUGGAAUUCGUAGAUAUUAGGAAGAACACCAGUGGCGAAGGCGGCUCACUGGUCCGGUACUGACGCUGAGGUGCGAAAGCGUGGGGAGCAAACAGG